UCGCGUCCCCAUCGAUCUCUCCCCAUCCAUCUCACCCCACCAUGGCUCCUCCUCCGUUCGUCCAUCGCCAACGCUCGCCCCACUCCGCCUCCCUUCGGCUUCUUCCUUCGCCCCCGCUCGCAAGCCCAACGGCUCUGCUCUCAUGCCAAUCUCCUCCCAUUAAACGCAAUAAUUCCGUCUUCAAGGCAGUAGAAACUGCUCGGAAAAUUUCUUCCGCCGCCGCCGUCUUAAAGCCACGCGAUGGUGCUGUCCGCCCCCACAACGAAUCGGCCAAACUACGCCGCUGCAGCCAACACGGGCACCUGCUCGAACGCCGGUUCAUCUCCGCCUACGGAAGUUGUCCCGCCUCCGGAUUUCCGCUGCUACCCCAGGCCGUACGGUUUUCUUGGAAUUGAUUUCGGAUUGAUUUGUACACCUGUUCAUCAUCCACAGUGUAGACUGCAUUCUUCAACUGGUACGCCUACUGUGAUCUCCUCCUCUUCUUUUAUGUGGAACGCCAUUUGCUAGCAACAAACGAGAAAAUCAAGUUACAAAUGUUGAAGAGCACAUAACCAAUGUUACUCUGUUUGAAAAUAAUGGCCACUUUAGUGUCUUCGUAUAUAUUUGAAAUAGUAGUAAAGUUUAUCAGAACAAUCAAACUUUACACAACCAGAUGUAAUAUGUUGAAUAUUAGAAGAGGAUGGAAGGUAGUAGGCUGCUUCUCAGAUUUGUUUAUGCCUAAACUUGCCUUCUUUUCAACGGAUGCAUACCAUAUGGUUGCUGAGAUGCAUAUGGAUUUUACAGUUAAAUCACUUGAAAUCAGUACCGCAUACCUAACUGAAUCAAACUACUUAGAGAUCAAAGAGAACAUAUAUAUAUUGCUACUGUUUUAACAAGUGCACAUGCGCGUAUCCCUGAAGAUGCAAUGAGCACUUAUCCUGAACUGAGGAAAGCUUGGUAAUUCCUCAUGCUCAGUACAAUCUUCUGUGCUGCUUCUUUUUAAUUUACAUGUAUCUGUUCCGAAAAGAUGAUACCCCGCCGGCGUUGCUGCGGCACACAUAUCAAUAAACUGGUGAAUCAUAAAUAAAUAAA